GACGAACGCUGGCGGCGUGCUUAACACAUGCAAGUCGAACGGAAAGGCCCUGCUUUUGUGGGGUGCUCGAGUGGCGAACGGGUGAGUAACACGUGAGUAACCUGCCCUUGACUUUGGGAUAACUUCAGGAAACUGGGGCUAAUACCGGAUAGGAGCUCCUGCUGCAUGGUGGGGGUUGGAAAGUUUCGGCGGUUGGGGAUGGACUCGCGGCUUAUCAGCUUGUUGGUGGGGUAGUGGCUUACCAAGGCUUUGACGGGUAGCCGGCCUGAGAGGGUGACCGGCCUCAUUGGGACUGAGAUACGGCCCAGACUCCUACGGGAGGCAGCAGGGGGGAAUCUUGCACAAUGGGCGGGAGCCUGAUGCAGCAACGCCGCGUGCGGGAUGACGGCCUUCGGGUUAUGAACCGCUUUCGCCUGUGACGAAGCGUGAGUGACGGUAAUGGGUAAAGAAGCACCGGCUAACUACGUG
rnacentral:rRNA from 1 species